GAACGCUGGCGGCGUGCUUAACACAUGCAAGUCGAACGGAAAGGCCCUGCUUGUGUGGGGUGCUCGAGUGGCGAACGGGUGAGUAACACGUGAGUAACCUGCCCUUGACUUUGGGAUAACUUCAGGAAACUGGGGCUAAUACCGGAUAGGAGCUCCUGCUGCAUGGUGGGGGUUGGAAAGUUUCGGCGGUUGGGGAUGGACUCGCGGCUUAUCAGCUUGUUGGUGGGGUAGUGGCUUACCAAGGCUUUGACGGGUAGCCGGCCUGAGAGGGUGACCGGCCACAUUGGGACUGAGAUACGGCCCAGACUCCUACGGGAGGCAGCAGUGGGGAAUAUUGCACAAUGGGCGGAAGCCUGAUGCAGCAACGCCGCGUGCGGGAUGACGGCCUUCGGGUUGUAAACCGCUUUCGCCUGUGACGAAGCGUGAGUGACGGUAAUGGGUAAAGAAGCACCGGCUAACUACGUG
rnacentral:rRNA from 1 species